GGAUCGAUAACCGCUGAAAGCAUCUAAGCGGGAAGCGAGCCUUGAGAUGAGUUCUCCCUGGCGCUUUAAGCGUCCUAAAGGGUUGUUCGAGACUAGAACGUUGAUAGGCAGGGUGUGUAAGCGUUGUGAGGCGUUGAGCUAACCUGUACUAAUCGCCCGUGAGGCUUAACCAU
rnacentral:ncRNA from 1 species